rnacentral:rRNA from 1 species
GACGAACGCUGGCGGCGUGCUUAACACAUGCAAGCCGAGCGGUAAGGCCCUUUCGGGGGUACGACGAGCGGCGAACGGGUGAGUAACACGUGGGUGACCUGCCCUCAGCUCUGGGAUAAGCCUGGGAAACCGGGUCUAAUACCGGAUAUGACUCCGUGACGCAUGUUGUGGGGUGGAAAGCCUUGUGCGGCUGAGGAUGGGCCCGCGGCCUAUCAGCUUGUUGGUGGGGUGAUGGCCACCAAGGCGACGACGGGUAGCCGGCCUGAGAGGGCGACCGGCCGACACUGGGA